rnacentral:rRNA from 1 species
CCCCUAGAUGUUCUGGGCCGCACGCGCGCUACACUGAACAGUUCAACAAGUCUUAACCUUGGCCGACAGGCCUGGGCAAUCUUUGAACAUCGAUCGUGAUCGGGAUAGAUUCUUGUAAUUUUUGAUCUUAAACGAGGAAUUCCUAGUAAACGCAAGUCAUCAGCUUGCAUUGAUUACGUCCCUGCCCUUUGUACACACCGCCCGUCGCACCUACCGAUUGAAUGGUCCGGUGAAAUCUCCGGACUGGCGUGAGUCGGAGCAAUCUGACAAACACCGGAAAGUUGAUUAAACCUUACCAUUUAGAGGAAGGUGAAGUCGUAACA